GCGGGCCUGCAGGACAGGCCAGACCUUGACUCGAGACAGGGCGGACCGUGACUCGAGACUAGUCGGACCAUAUUUUCGGACAGGGCGGACCGUCACUACCUGUACGAAAAAUCAGCAUGGCUUUAUGAAAAACAGGACCGAUUCAGGCCUGUUUUGAACCAGAAUUGGCAAAAUCAGGGUGAAAUAGACAUGGACCCUGAAUUUUCAAGAAAUCUCACAUGGUAUAAUUCAAGUUUUUUCUACCCUGACAUGGUCUUCAUUUUGGUAAAAGACGUGGUGGAGGCAGGAAUAUUUGCACUUUGAAAAUAUUUUGACACAGAUUUUACUGACUUGGAGAAAUAUAAGCAAAAUCUACCCAGAUAUUUCAAAGUUAGAAAAUUUUCAAGAACCAGUUUCAAUAAAGUCUUCAAAGUUCUUCAUUUCCAGCCUGAUUUUUCUUAGUUACUGUACUGUAGACUAGAUUCUAACAACAAAAAAAACUCACCAAAAGCUACAAAAUGUAUCUGUGUUCGUUCAUUUCCCCUUCCACAUCACAAAUAUCCUUCUGAAGUUUGUUUUCUCCGACACAUAAUCUUUUUUGAUGACCGAAUACACAGAGGGAAUCACACAACGGGGUCAACGCAGUUGAUGACGCAAAAUUGGACGACUUCAUUUUCACGCCAUUGAAGGGGUGUCCAGUCCGAUGACAGUGUGUAAACGUUUUAAUGAUAUUUCUGAUGAAUCAACAUUUCAAUUAUUCAUAAUUGAUGGAAAGGAUAAUUUAAUUAUUCUCUAAAACCUGGGACAAAAGAUAUUUUAAGUCACAGAUAAACGAAAAUGCUGUCACGAAAAUUGUGUCUUGCAUACGGAGUACCUGACUCCCCCGUGUAAGCGUAAAGAUUUGUCCGUUGCCGCUGUUCAAAACUCUUUGAACUUCGAGCGUGUGCCUGUGUAGUUUAAAGACACGCAAAGCUGAGGAUUAAACGGGUAAAUUAAUGUGAUCUUACAAGAGGUGCUGUAGACUUGCGGGUUGUUUCUUAAAGACUAGAAAGAUGUAGUGGCUCAAAUGUCUUAUAGUCUUAUCACAGUAAAUACUUCAAGUGACAGACAGCUAUGACUUCAAAACGGGGAUUCAGACUGAAAUACAAAAAAUAUUUCAGUAAAGAUCAAUAAUUGAAGAGAUUUUAUGGAUUGGAGUGGGACUCACAUGAAAUAGAGUUUCCAAGGGUCUAUAAUCUUAGCCAGAAAACUGCAUGUGAGCAAGGGGAAUGUGGUAAGAGAAGACUGGUGAUAAUAAACAGAGGCCAUGCAAAAAAAGAAAAUGUAAGUAACUUCACAAAGAAUGUUUAAAACUGGCUAAAAAAUGUGUGCUUGUGCUAACUACUGCAUGCAUGAUAGAAUUUCAUAAUAAAUAAGUUAAAGCUACUGUCAUGUCCCACACAAAACAGUUCUAAAAAACAUCAACAUAUUUGUUUAUAGUUAUUAAAUAUGCUUAGACGUGAAAUUUGCAG